rnacentral:rRNA from 1 species
UAGGGAAUCUUCCACAAUGGCGAAAGCCUGAUGGAGCAACGCCGCGUGAGUGAAGAAGGGUUUCGGCUCGUAAAACUCUGUUGUUAAAGAAGAACAUAUCUGAGAGUAACUGUUCAGGUAUUGACGGUAUUUAACCAGAAAGCCACGGCUAACUACGUGCCGG